GGCCGAGUAGGUGGCAAGUUGUAGCCUUGCUUACGGGGCCACGCCCCCCCAG
rnacentral:tRNA from 1 species